UCAACCUGAAAAGAAAGGGAGAAAAUACACAGAUGAGCAAACUGAUCCUCAAAGAAGUGAGGCAGCUUCUCAAAGACUGCACAACCAUCCUAUGGGAUAAGAGGGACUCAGGCCAAGAGUCUUCUUGCCUCACUCUGACUUCCAUGAUCUUUGCUGGUGGCUCGAGGCCUUUGUGUUAGGAGCAUUGUAAUAGCAGACUCAGCUUUAAGUCAAAGGAAAGGAUCCCAUCCAGGAUCU